GGGUAGGCAAAUGCCUGGCGGUUACUUCGCAACUUAAACCGAUUACCAGACUGUCCUUCUGUUCCAAUCGAACUCAAUACACCCCGCUGGCGCUAUCCUACUCUUUU
rnacentral:vault_RNA from 1 species